rnacentral:rRNA from 1 species
AACGAACGCUGGCGGCAGGCUUAACACAUGCAAGUCGAACGCCCCGCAAGGGGAGUGGCAGACGGGUGCGUAACGCGUGGGAACAUACCCUUUCCUGCGGAAUAGCUCCGGGAAACUGGAAUUAAUACCGCAUACGCCCUACGGGGGAAAGAUUUAUCGGGGAAGGAUUGGCCCGCGUUGGAUUAGCUAGUUGGUGGGGUAAAGGCCUACCAAGGCGACGAUCCAUAGCUGGUCUGAGAGGAUGAUCAGCCACAUUGGGACUGAGACACGGCCCAAACUCCUACGGGAGGCAGCAGUGGGGAAUAUUGGACAAUGGGCGCAAGCCUGAUCCAGCCAUGCCGCGUGAGUGAUGAAGGCCUUAGGGUUGUAAAGCUCUUUCACCGAUGAAGAUAAUGACGGUAGUCGGAGAAGAAGCCCCGGCUAACUUCGUG